AAAUAAAUAAGCCCCCCCAAAAAGGAUAGUAUAUAUAAAAAAUAUGAUUACACAUGCUCCACUUUUUUACUUUUUUUUCUUCGUCUCUCUCCUUUUUAUUGAUAUAUUUAUU
rnacentral:ribozyme from 1 species